rnacentral:rRNA from 1 species
UGAGGGAUAUUGGUCAAUGGGGGAAACCCUGAACCAGCAACGCCGCGUGAGGGAAGACGGUUUUCGGAUUGUAAACCUCUGUCCUCUGUGAAGAUAAUGACGGUAGCAGAGGAGGAAGCUCCGGCUAACUACGUGCCAGCAGCCGCGGUAAUACGUAGGGAGCAAGCGUUGUCCGGAUUUACUGGGUGUAAAGGGUGCGUAGGCGGCCCUGCAAGUCAGAAGUGAAAUCCAUGGGCUUAACCCGUGAACUGCUUUUGAAACUGUAGGGCUUGAGUGAAGUAGAGGCAGGCGGAAUUCCCGGUG